rnacentral:pre_miRNA from 1 species
UCUCAUGGAUGAGCAAAAGAAGUGGUUUCUUGAGAUGGAAACUACCCUUGGUGAAGAUGCUGUGAA